UACGUAGGUGGCAAGCGUUGUCCGGAUUUAUUGGGUUUAAAGGGUGCGUAGGCGGUUCUUUAAGUCAGUGCUGAAAUACUCCAGCUUAACUGGAGGGGUGGCAUUGAUACUGGGGAACUUGAGUGUAGUCGAGGUAGGCGGAAUUGACGGUGUAGCGGUGAAAUGCGUAGAUAUCGUAAGGAAGACCAGUGGCGAAGGCGGGUCUCUGGACAGUUCCUGACGCUGAGGCACGAAGGCCAGGGGAGCAAACGGG
rnacentral:rRNA from 1 species